UACGAAGGGUGCAAGCGUUACUCGGAAUUACUGGGCGUAAAGCGUGCGUAGGCGGUUUGUUAAGUCUGAUGUGAAAGCCCUGGGCUCAACCUGGGAAUGGCAUUGGAUACUGGCAACCUAGAAUGUGGUAGAGGGUGGCGGAAUUCCCGGUGUAGCAGUGAAAUGCGUAGAUAUCGGGAGGAACAUCCGUGGCGGAGGCGGCCACCUGGACCAACAUUGACGCUGAGGCACGAAAGCGUGGGGAGCAAACAGG
rnacentral:rRNA from 1 species